CUUCGGUACAGGUGGGAAAACAAGACGGAUUGUAUGUCCUUCAGUGUUCAUGUAGGCUGGGAAGUGGGAGGAGAAAAACAAAACAAAGCUGAAAAUGAGUGUUGAAUGGGCUUUCCCAGGAUUCCCAGAAAUAUAUGGUUAGCUCUGUGUGAACUGUAGCAAAGUUCUCCAGGAAACAGGCUCACUGGGACAGAGCAACAGUGUCAUCCCUGCAGACUGUGAAGAAGCAGGUGACAUCAAGUGGGGACACAGCCUCUUUUCAAGACAACAUAAAAAUAAGCCAUGAAGAAGCAUUUAUGAAGUUCCUACAUUACAGAAGUUCAGAUGACUGCUAAAAGAAGGUGGUACUGUUUGUACAAAUAUUCAAAAUUUUAAUAGUCAAAACUACAGAGUAGGAAGGGAGAGGUAGACUGUGCAGAAGACAGCAUAAAACUGGGGUUUAGUUCCUGAGAGAGGCUGUGAAAUACAAAUCAUUAAAACUUUGUAAAGGGACAGUAUAGCUUUUUAAAGGAAAACUUCAUAGUAACACAGUCACAAUUAAAAUAAAAUGUAAAUUUCAUGUUUAUGUGCCUCAGAGAAAGAUACUGAGACAGAAGUUAA